rnacentral:rRNA from 1 species
UACGUAGGGUGCAAGCGUUGUCCGGAAUUAUUGGGCGUAAAGAGCUCGUAGGCGGUUUGUCGCGUCUGCCGUGAAAGUCCGGGGCUCAACUCCGGAUCUGCGGUGGGUACGGGCAGACUAGAGUGAUGUAGGGGAGACUGGAAUUCCUGGUGUAGCGGUGAAAUGCGCAGAUAUCAGGAGGAACACCGAUGGCGAAGGCAGGUCUCUGGGCCUUACCUGACGCUGAGGAGCGAAAGCGUGGGGAGCGAACAGG